GCUGUUGUAGCUCAGUUGGUAGAGCACGUCCUUGGUAAGGACGAGGUCAUGAGUUCGAAUCUCAUCAACAGCU
rnacentral:tRNA from 1 species